UCAAAACUGGUCCACCACCAUAGUUGCAAUUUGUGCAUGAUGGAAGUUGCAAUCGGCUGACGGGUUGAGUUGCAACUGGUAUACAAACGGAUCGGCAACUAGUAGUUUGCAAUUGGCCUACCUAAUCAGAAUGCAACUAUCAUAUCACUCGAUUUGCAAGUGGUAUACAAACGGUUCAAGGGUUGAGUUGCAACUAGUAUAUAAACAGAGCUGCAACCAGUGGUCCACGGUAGUUGCAAUUGGAGAACCCAACCGGAAUGCAACUAGUAUAUGCAACUGGUAUAUGACGUAAGUUGUAAUCAGCUGACAGUCUGAGUUGCAAUCUGGGGACAUCUAAACUCAUCAUUUUGCACACAUUAUAAUAGUCACGACUUGGAGUUUUGCAAUUGGUAUGACAACCAGAGUUGCAACUUGUAGGUUGUAGUACACGCGGAUUCAUUCAGAUUCAGUUGCAACCUUUUUUUGUCAUUGGAAAGAAAACAAAAUAAAUAAUAACAUUAUUAAUGGGGCAACAUGUAGUUACACACUUUUAAGUACACAUGCAGAUUCAUUCAAAUUCAUAGUCGUUGCCAUCAUGAUCCCCACUAUGGUCCCCCUCUUGUUCUUCAUUAAGUUCCCUCUAUGUUUUUGGCUGACCUCUCUUUCUCGGAGUCCCACCUUGUGUUUUGGCACCCCUCUUUUUUUCUCUAUUCUCUGCUGCUCUGCUCCUAUUUGGGUUUAGCGGGCAUGUUGUGCUGUAGUGUCCAGUAACAUUGCAUGUGUGGCACACUUUUUU
rnacentral:lncRNA from 1 species